UUAAAUGUGUUGAAGAAGGAAAGUAAGUCAAAGGAAACUCACAGAGAGAAAAUCAUUGGUGGAAGAUUUUCAGGGAAAUUUGAUUGAAGUGCCCUUCGGAGCAAUGUACCGAACUAACAGUAGGCUACAUCGGGAUCUCCCGUUAUAGAGAUAGGGCAUCAAGUGCUUGAAAGUGGGCUAUUAGCCAAUUAGAGUGGAACCGCGGAGUAUAAACUUCGUCUCUUAU
rnacentral:ncRNA from 1 species